rnacentral:rRNA from 1 species
AAUCAACGCUGGCGGCGUGCCUAACACAUGCAAGUCGAACGCGAAAGGGACUUCGGUCCUGAGUAGAGUGGCGAACGGGUGAGUAACGCGUGGGUGACCUACCCUCGAGUGGGGGAUAACGUUCCGAAAGGGACGCUAAUACCGCAUGACAUUCCGGGUUUGAAGACCUGGAAAUCAAAGCCGGGGACCGCAAGGCCUGGCGCUAGAGGAGGGGCCCGCGUCUGAUUAGCUAGUUGGCGGGGUAACGGCCCACCAAGGCGACGAUCAGUAGCCGGCCUGAGAGGGCGGACGGCCACACUGGGACUGAGACACGGCCCAGACUCCUACGGGAGGCAGCAGUGGGGAAUUGUUCGCAAUGGCGCAAGCCUGACGACGCAACGCCGCGUGGAGGAUGAAGGUCUUCGGAUUGUAAACUCCUGUUGAUCGGGACGAAAAGCUUCAACCUAAUACGUUGAGGACUGACGGUACCGG